GGGGAGCACUGCUUCACUUCCCUUCUCAGCAGAAGAUGCAAACCUGCAGCAUGAAAGUGUGUAACAACCCAGCUGCAUGCCUGGGAGAGGGCGGAAAAAAAGAGCAGGACUGAAACAGCUGUCCUAAAGAUGUGGAAGAGGGAGGUGCCGCUGAGCUAGUGCUGAUUUGUCAGUAAUAUGCUUCUGCUUUCAGGUUUGCUUCAGCAAACACUGAGCAAAGAGGCAGCUCAGCCACCGGCCCUGCACCCAGCGCUGACAGGAACACUGCGGCAAGUGACGUCAGAGCAGCUGCGUGUCCUCAUCUGCAGGGCACGGCCUGCUGAUGUGCGGCUCUCCUGUGCCGUCAGUCACGCGUGCUACAUUCCGACAGAAGAGGGCUUCCCAGCUUCACCUUCAGCGAGGCAGGUCCUGAGGCAUGGGGCUUUGUAACGGGGUACUGUUGAGCCUUCACAAGCUCAUCCCGGCAGUGACAGAAUCACUACAUAGUUAAGAAUGUUGCAACACUGACUUGAAUGCUAAAAAUACCACUUGAAUAUUCCCUUAUGACUUUGUCUGGACAACAUGGUAUCCAUCUGGACAACAUGAUAUCCAUCUGCUGAAUACAUAGACUGGUGGAAGGUAAAAUUCUAUUCACACUUGUCUAGGUACAUCAGAUGUUGCCAGUCAGCAUUAAUAGUUGCAUCUCAAAUACAUGCCUAAGUGCUGGGCUUUACAGCACUGUGUAACUUACAAAUGAUCUUAUAGGAAUAUUUUAUAUGUAUAUUAUGCGGUAUAUAUUCUGUUACUGAUGGCAUCUUCCAUUUUUUUUUUGUGACUGUAAGAUUGUAGGUCUCACAAUAGAGUCUGAGGUCAGUUAAAGUUGCUGCUUUAACAUAUUCAUUGCUUUAACAGACUCCUAAGUUGGUUAACAGGUGUUCAGAAAUGCGAGUAUGUCCUGCUCAUGGUAAUACCUUGCUUCAACGUUCAUUUUUAUCCUUUCAGAGCUUGCUUUGUUUCUUUAAGAACCUUCCAACGAGUUGUGCAAUACAGCAAGCCUGAUGAUAAGGCCUUGCUGAUUAUUCU